ACGUACACUCCUGCGGGAGGCAGCAGUGGGGAAUAUUGGACAAUGGGCGCAAGCCUGAUCCAGCCAUGCCGCGUGAGUGAUGAAGGCCCUAGGGUUGUAAAGCUCUUUCACCGGUGAAGAUAAUGACGGUAACCGGAGAAGAAGCCCCGGCUAACUUCGUGCCAGCAGCCGCGGUAAUACGAAGGGGGCUAGCGUUGUUCGGAUUUACUGGGCGUAAAGCGCACGUAGGCGGACUAUUAAGUCAGGGGUGAAAUCCCGGGGCUCAACCCCGGAACUGCCUUUGAUACUGGUAGUCUUGAGUUCGAGAGAGGUGAGUGGAAUUCCGAGUGUAGGGGUGAAAUUCGUAGAUAUUCGGAGGAACACCAGUGGCGAAGGCGGCUCACUGGCUCGAUACUGACGCUGAGGUGCGAAAGCGUGGGGAGCAAACAGGAUUAGAAACCCUUGUAGUCCC
rnacentral:rRNA from 1 species